AUUUGGUGAUAGAUUUUUCUAUCAUUAACAACCCAUGGGAGAAAGCAGAAGUGGCUCAUAGAGUCCCCACCUGGCUGACCCACUCCUCCCCAGCUUCCUUUUUCUUACCCGCCUCCAGGUUCAGAUCCCAGUGCUUCACCUUCCCUUUCUAGAAGGCUUCAUUGCAUUUCUGCCCUGCAAAGAGAGGUAGAGUUUAGAGAGAACUGCCCUACAUCAUUGAGGAGAGAAGAACAAGAAUUUUGAAAUCAGAAAGGCCCUAGCUGGAAUUCUUGAUCUGUCUGUUACCAGCUGCAGAUGACCUUGGAAAUGAGUUUGCUCAUCUGACAAAUUGGGGAUAACAUUGUGAUCCUCACAUAUUAUCAGUAAUAGUUAUUCCUUAUUAUUAUUUUAAGAGUCAUGACUUAGAAUGGGGAAGAAUAUAACAUGGGGGCAGGGAUGAAAGAAGCACGAAAAGAAAAGGAUUCGUCCAAGGUUAAGUCCAAGUCUAAGUAAUAUUAAGGGAUAUUACAACAUGCUCUAUAAAAUACAGUGAGGUUCACUCUAUCCGAUGUGCUUCCAACACUCGAUCCCUCUGCUUCUCUUUAGUAUGAAGCCUGCUUACCCACACCUGCCUCCCUACCAUCUUGACAUGGCUCACCUUACUUGCUUUGAAAUUCCUGCUAUUAUAAUAACUUUGAUAGUUAGACGGUAAAGGAGGCAGCACCGUUCCCAGUAACCCACUAUGGAAUGGUCCACCACUAAGUUUUGGGGGGCAGGGAGGGAUGGAGGAGACCCAUUAUUCUCUCCUGUUAACACAAACUGAUAUUUCAGAUUUCCUGGUCAUGACAGGGGUGCUAUAAAAGAGAGGAUGGUCCAUAACAAAGAAUGAAAUUAUGGCAUUUGCCAGUAAAUGGAUGGAAAUGGAGACUAUCAAGCUAAUAAGCCAGUCCCAAAAAUCAAAGACCAGACAUUCUCUAUGUGGAUGAUAACACACAAUAAAUAAGGUGUGGGAGGGAAGAAUAGAAGUUCAUUGGAGCCAGCCAUGGUGGCUGAGACAGGAGGAUCAUGAGUUCAAAGCCAGCCUCAGCAAUGGCAAGGUACUAAGCAACUCAGUGAGACCCUUUCUCUAAAUAAAAUAUAAAAUAGGGCUGGGAAUGUGGCUCAGUGGUCGAGUGCCCCUGAGCUUAAUCCCCAAUAAGAAGGAGGAGGAGGAGGAGAAGAAGAAGAAUAAGUAGUAGUAGUAGUAGUUGUUGUUGAAGUUGUUCAUUGGAUUAGACAAAGGGGAAUGAAGAGAAGUGGGAUAGGAAAAGGAAAGAUGGUAGAAUGAACUGGACAUAAUUUUCUAUGUUCAUAUAUGAAUACACAACCAGUGUAACUCCACAUCAUGUACAACCACAAGAAUGAGAUUUUAAAUUAUACUCCAUGUAUAUACAAUAUGUCAAAAUACACUCUACUGUCAUGUAUAUCUAAAAAAAAACAAAUAAUGUUUUUAAAAAAAUGGGGCUGGUAAAGGAUUCAAGGAGAGCAGCCUAAUAGGACAAAUGAAGGAGAAGAAGAGACAGUGUAAAGAGCAUUGGAAAGAAACAUUAUGGAAGUGAAGUGCUGCUGGGCUGUUCUGACCCCACUGACAAUCAAAUCCCAUGGCAUAUACAUGCCCAACUUUCAUCAAGCCCCUGUGUAUAGUCUUUCAUUUUUAAAAUGCAGCAUUUAUUCAUUUUCAACAAAUAUUUGUAAAACAUUUAUUAAUGGGCCAGGAACUGAAUACUUAGGGUCAAGGAAAAGGCUUAUCUUAUGGGAAGAAUUAAAUAAUAAGUUUGAUCUGGCUAGAGAGAGGAAACUGGUCAUGUUAAAGGUUUUGAACUCUAACAUAAGGGGAAUGGGAGCUACUAAUGUUUUCUUUUUAAAUAAACUUUUAGUUAUGGAAUGGGUUUAUAUUUAGUUCUUAUGUAGCCCCUUAACAAACUUCCCCUUGUUAUGGUUUGGAUGUGAGGUGUCCCCCAGAAGCUCACAUGUGAGACAAUGCAAGAAGGUUCAAAGGAGAAAUGAUUGGGUUGUGAGAGUCUUAGCCCAAUCAGUGAAUUAAUCCCCUUAUAGGGAUUAAGUGAGUGGUAACUGAAAUGGUGGGGU
rnacentral:lncRNA from 1 species